rnacentral:misc_RNA from 1 species
UACGUAGGAGGCAAGCGUUGUCCGGAUUUACUGGGCGUAAAGCGCGCGUAGGCGGCCGGGCUUGUCCACUGUGAAAUCUCCCUGCUCAACGGGGAGGGGCCAGUGGAGGACGGUCCGGCUUGAGGACGGUAGAGGCGAGCGGAAUUCCCGGAGGAGCGGUGAAAUGCGUAGAUUUCGGGAGGAACACCAGAGGCGAAAGCGGCUCGCUGGGCCGGUCCUGACGCUGAGGCGCGAAAGCGUGGGGAGCAAACCGG